GGUAAAAAAAUAAAUAAAUUGUACACUUUCUUCUUUGUAGUUACCAGUUUCCUCUAUCUUAUACGACGCCGUUUGUCCAUUUCCAUAAACGGUUAAACUAAACCCCUAUCCUCAGCUCAGCUCUGCAACUCUAAAAACCUUGACUUGAGCUCCCUCAGUGCUCAGACAAAAUCAAAAUGGCUCUCAGCUUUCUCUCUCUAUCACUCUUCCCUUCAGUUUCACCACCGAAAUCUCUUUCUCUCAGGUCCCCACAGUUCAGGCCCUUCCCUUUCCUCCGCCUCAACCUCCCACUCACCACCGCCGUCUCCGCCAUCGGCCCCGACGGCAAGUACUACCCUACCCCAUCAGACGAUGACCCUCCGGAAGCUCCAGAGGACUCAAUGCACGGGGUCAACAAGUUCCAGCAGAUACAGCGCCAAGCUGCACGAGCAAGGAAGCGGGAGGAGGAGCAGGCCAAGAAAGACCAGUCCAUUUUCCUCAACGCCAUCGCCGACGUUGAGGACGCGCCAGACGAUGACUCUCUCGCCGCCGAUCACCAGAGCUCCGGAGAUGAUUUCUUUGGGGAAAUUGACAAAGCCAUUGCUUUGAAACGAAAGGAGUUUGUGAAACAAGGCCUCUUGAAGCCCAACCCCAAGAAGGUGCUCCCCCGGACCCGGAGGGAACCCGAAUUAGAAGACGUCGAGGAGCUGGAGCCCGACGAAGUGGCUGAUUUGGAGGAAAUCAGUGAGCUUCAGGGGCUUACUGAGAUAUCGGUAGGAGAUGAAGAGAGCGAAGAAGAAGAAGAAGAAGAAGAAGAGAGCACUGAGGAAAGUGAUGAUAUUAUGGUAAAAGAUGAUGAUUUAUCUUCAUUUGACAUUGAUUUCGAUGAGCUUGGUAAAACUCGGCCCAGAAUUUUGGAACCUAGUUUUAGGAUGACUUUAGCUGAGCUUUUAGAUGAAAGUAGAGUAGUGCCCAUUUCAGUGUAUGGGGACUUGGAAGUGGAAAUCAGGGGGAUUCAGCAUGACUCGAGGUUGGUUGAGAGCGGGGAUUUGUUUGUGUGUUGUGUAGGGAGGAAAACUGAUGGGCAUUUAUAUUUAUCUGAGGCUGAUAAGAGAGGGGCUGUUGCCGUAGUGGCUAGUAAAGAGAUUGAUAUUGAGGAAACAUUGGGGUGUAAAGCUUUGGUCAUUGUGGAGGACACGAAUGUGGUGCUUGCAGUGUUGGCUGCUUCAUUUUAUAGGCAUCCAUCUAAGAGUAUGUCUGUGAUUGGCAUCACAGGAACUAAUGGAAAGACUACCACCUCAUACUUGAUAAAGUCAAUGUAUGAAGCAAUGGGGCUGAGGACUGGGAUGCUUAGCACUGUGGCUUACUAUAUUCAUGGAGAUAAUACGUUGGAGUCCCCUAAUACAACCCCUGAUGCUGUUUUGGUUCAGAAGUUAAUGGCUAAGAUGUCGCAUAAUGGGACUGAGGCUUUAGUUAUGGAAGCUUCUUCUCAUGGAUUGGCAUUAGGUAGGUGUGAUGAGGUUGACUUUGAUAUUGCCGUUUUCACAAACCUUACUAGAGACCAUCUGGAUUUCCAUGGGACUGAGGAGGAGUAUAGGAAUGCAAAGGCCAAAUUGUUUGCAAGGAUGGUUGACCCAGAACGACACCGCAAAAUUGUGAAUAUUGAUGACCCAAAUGCAGCAUUCUUCAUCUCACAAGGCAACCCGAGUGUGCCUGUUGUGACCUUUGCAAUGGAGAAUAAGAAGGCUGAUGUUCAUCCCUUAAAUUUUGAAUUGUCUCUCUUUGAGACAACAGUCUUGGUGAAUACUCCUCGUGGUAUAUUGGAGAUUUCAUCAGGACUGCUUGGGCGCCAUAACAUCUAUAACAUACUUGCAGCUGUAGCUGUUGGUAUUGCAGUUGGGGCACCUUUGGAGGACAUUGUUAAAGGUAUUGAAGAGGUUGAUGCAGUGCCUGGUAGGUGUGAACUGAUAGAUGAGGAACAAGCUUUUGGAGUGAUUGUGGACUAUGCUCAUACACCCGAUGCAUUAUCUAAACUUCUUGAUUAUGUUAGAGAGCUCCAUCCACGGAGGAUUAUCACUGUGUUUGGAUGUGCUGGUGAGAGUGAUAGGGGGAAGAGGCCCAUAAUGACAAAAAUUGCUACGGAGAAGAGUGAUGUAACUAUUCUUACAUCUGACAAUCCGAAGAAUGAAGAUCCACUUGACAUCUUGGAUGACAUGUUAGCUGGUGUAGGAUGGACUAUGCAGGAUUACUUAAAACAUGGAGAGAAUGAUUAUUACCCACCUCUCUCUAAUGGCCAUAGACUCUUCCUUCAUGACAUUAGACGGGUAGCUGUACGCUGUGCAGUUGCAAUGGGCGAGGAAGGUGAUAUGGUUGUAGUUGCUGGUAAAGGCCAUGAAACAUACCAAAUAGAGGGUGAGAAGGAGGAAUUUUUUGAUGAUCGGGAAGAAUGUAGGGAAGCCUUACAGUAUGUUGAUGAGCUUCACCAAGCUGGGAUUGACACAAGUGAAUUCCCAUGGCGGCUGCCUGAGAGCCAUUAAUAUGAGGAGGCAGGGGAAAGUUGUGGGCUAAUAUUUUGACAAUAGCGGGAGAGUGAAAGCAAGCUCUACUAUGAGAGGAGAUGGUGCGGCAGAUGUAAUUCAAUUGUAGCUGCUUGCUCUUUUCUCUUAUCGGCCGGGCGGGAUCUGUAAAUUAUGGAAAGAAGGGGAUUUACUUGAUUGCAGAUUUAAGGAUGUCGUAUUCCUAGAGCAGUUUCCCAAAUUGAAGAAAUGGAAGUUCUUUUGAAGGCAAAAGUCUCUGCCGUUAUGAUACUCAUCCUAAUGUGAAAAAAAAAUGGUAGCAAUAAUUUUAUUUAUAUUUUUUUUUAUAAAUAUAGAACACAAAGUGGCAUUUGGUAAAAUCACAAGUACGGAGGCUAAAUACGCACGCAUGCACGCACGCACUUACUUACUAAGCAUGCAAUUCUAUCUAUGCGUAAAAUAUAUGUUCUAAAGCAGCUAAUAAUAAACUGUGGGUGACCAACUUACAAGUGCAAGCAAGCCUGUUACUGUACGCACCAAAAAUUUGCAUAUUCCUACAAACUUACACUAUAAUAAGUAUCCAACCUGUACAACUAGCAGUGAGCAGUAAGUAUUAUAGGGCUUCUCCCAUCAUUCCAAUCCACAUACACACCCCACCUAAAAAGAA